UACAGAGGGGGCAAGCGUUGUUCGGAAUUACUGGGCGUAAAGGGCGCGUAGGCGGCCGCCUAAGUCAGACGUGAAAUCCCUCGGCUCAACCGGGGAACUGCGUCUGAUACUGGGUGGCUUGAAUCCGGGAGAGGGAUGCGGAAUUCCAGGUGUAGCGGUGAAAUGCGUAGAUAUCUGGAGGAAUACCGGUGGCGAAGGCGGCAUCCUGGACCGGCAUUGACGCUGAGGAGCGAAAGCCAGGGGAGCAAAGCGGG
rnacentral:rRNA from 1 species